rnacentral:rRNA from 1 species
UGACAGUACUCCUACGGGGAGGCAGCAGUGGGGGAAUAUUGCACAAUGGGCGCAAGCCUGAUGCAGCCAUGCCGCGUGUGUGAAGAAGGACCUUCGGGUUGUAAAGCACUUUCAGUCGUGAGGAAGGUAGUGUAGUUAAUAGCUGCAGUAUUUGACGUUAGCGACAGAAGAAGCACCGGCUAACUCCGUGCCAGCAGCCGCGGUAAUACGGAGGGUGCGAGCGUUAAUCGGAAUUACUGGGCGUAAAGCGCAUGCAGGUGGUUUGUUAAGUCAGAUGUGAAAGACCCGGGGCUCAACCUCGGAAUAGCAUUUGAAACUGGCAGACUAGAGUACUGUAGAGGGGGGUAGGAAUUUCAGGUGUAGCGGUGAAAUGCGUAGAGAUCUGAAGGAAUACCGGUGGCGAAGGCGGCCCCCUGGACAGAUACUGACACUCAGAUGCGAAAGCGUGGGGAGCAAACAGGAUUAGAUACCCUGGUAG